UACAGAGGGUGCGAGCGUUUAAUCGGAAUUACUGGGCGUAAAGCGCGCGUAGACGGUUUUGUAAGUCAGAUGUGAAAUCCCUGGGCUCAACCUGGGAACUGCAUUUGAGACUGCAUGGCUAGAGUAUGGAAGAGGGAAGUGGAAUUUCCGGUGUAGCGGUGAAAUGCGUAGAUAUCGGAAGGAACACCAGUGGCGAAAGCGACUUCCUGGUCCAAUACUGACGUUCAUGUGCGAAAGCGUGGGGAGCAAACAGG
rnacentral:rRNA from 1 species